UUUCGUAUGCAGGUUUUAUUUAUAAUAGCUAAGCAGGCGUUAAACACGGCGGAUUCGGUGUAGUGUGUUUUUUUUAAGUAUCGUAAUUCCGUCUGCUCUUGUAGGGAAUCGUACCGUGUUUACCUUAUGUAACGUUAUCGUGCUGUACGCUGUCGCCGUUGACGAUGUUUGCUUAACGUUUUUUUGCCUAAAAUGUCUUUGCUUGGUACCAAGGUCACCUUUCGUCACAGGCCGUUAGGCAUUGCUAUCAGUCAGAAAUGUUCUACCCAGCUGCACAUUUCAACGUCUCGUUUCUCUCAAGGCUACAUAGUCCGUGGUACAAAUGGACAUUUCUUUAAGUGCGUUUCCAUGGCGGCCAAUAACUUAUCAGGAUACCACAGUGAGCUCUAUUGGAGAAACUCCAGCUAAAUGUAAAAAACCCACCUCAAAUUAAGCUCCUAACGAGAAAAACGCGUACCGAACGCCGAGUGAAGAAAUCCGCUUUGAUCACAACUUGUUUCCUUAUCGCUGACGCCUCCAGCAACAUGCGCGCUUAUGAUAAUCCUAUCUCAACAGCGGGAACCG